UACGGAGGAUGCGAGCGUUAUCCGGAUUUAUUGGGUUUAAAGGGUGCGUAGGCGGUCCGUUAAGUCAGCGGUAAAAUUGCGGGGCUCAACCCCGUCGAGCCGUUGAAACUGUCAGACUUGAGUUGGCGAGAAGUACGCGGAAUGCGCGGUGUAGCGGUGAAAUGCAUAGAUAUCGCGCAGAACUCCGAUUGCGAAGGCAGCGUACCGGCGCCACACUGACGCUGAGGCACGAAAGCGUGGGGAUCGAACAGG
rnacentral:rRNA from 1 species